AUUCAUAUGAAGUUAUCUGAUUUGAAUAUUCAAAACUUUAACAGAUUAGAUAGAAGCUUGGGGGAGAUAUCGAAUCUCCUAUACAUUUGUACUUAUACGCAAUUUGUGAGAUAACGGACAAAAGUGAGAGCAGGAUGAUUUUGGAAUCGCAUAGACCAUGUGCAUCGGCCUCUUUUUGUGAAGACUAGUCUUUAUCAAUCAAUCAAUCAUAUUGAUAAUCAAGAGAUGAUAAAAAAAUGUCCACGCAAACGAAUAAGGAGAUACAGGUUCGAUUGAAUAUUGAUGGUUGUAAUUAAUAAUUAAUGAGCCACUAAUCCCUUCCAAAUCUAUAGAUUUUUUCAAGAUAAGGUGAUACAGGUUCGUUUGAACUUCUUGAUUCAAGUACUGUAUCUUCCUCUCUACUCUGUUGUCUCAAAUCAUUUUCCAGUCCUUCACGAUGAUUCUAAAACAGCAUGUGACAAUGGGGGGAGAUCAUACAAAGGAUAUUUUCGGAGGCUCUUUGGCUGACAAAGCUGGUACAGACCUAUGUUAAUCAAGGAUCACUUCGAGGAGACGUGCAAAGCUAUUAUGCCUAGACUAUGAGGUACAACAUAUUGUGUAAAAAAAAAACAUUCUAUUGUGUACGAGACUUGUUAGUUUUGCUUCUUGAUUAUGUCAUUAAUUC